CCUCUCUACACGCUUCUCGUUUCGCGGCUUAACUUGUAAUUGCAUUCUUACCAUGGAGACUUCAAUGGAAAGAUAAAUAAAAACGAAAUCUCACGCAUCAAUGACGAGAAUCGAGCAAAGGAGAAGGACGAGGAAGCAGAGUCGAUCUCUUUGAUUCCAUUAUUGCUCGACCUAAUUGGAUUCCACCGCGCGAUCGCGGGCUGCAACGUCUAUAAACCCGCGGUCGACGAAACCAAUUUGGGCAUUCCUAUGGAUACGUAGCCGGUGGAUCCGUCGCCGAUCUAUAGAUCACUCGCCGCUACCUGUGCCAGUGAUGGCUUGCCCAAAUUUUCGACCGUGCGAUCUUCGAUCGUGCAAAAGCCGCCUCCGGUAUUCGAGAUACGACCGCGGCUUCAGGGGAAACUCAAUUUUCGUGGGAUGAUAUACAGUGACACUGUUCGAAGAAGAAAAACACUAGAUAAGGAAAGUAGCAGCAAUGGUGGUGCUUCACAGAACCCGUAAAAGUGAUUUGUUCUGCUAUUAACGAGACGCGGAUAGCAGGAACGUUAAUGGAAAAUUAUCGACAGUUACGAGACUCGAUACACCGUUACGACUGGUGAACGUCGUAAAUAACAGUCGCUUAUAUGCUUGAAAAUACCUUAAAGGCGUGCUAGUUUCUUGCACCGUAGCGAGUUAACCUAUAACCGGAAUGCGUCGAGCGAUUUGGAACUCGAAACAUCUUUAAAACGCAAAUUUUUCAAACAUAGAUAAAAGAAACUUAGAAAAUAUUUUGCAUCUUUUUUGAAAAGUGAAGUAUCGCGAAAAAUCGUAAACUUUAUUCUACUUGAAGAAAUAUUUCAUGCUUUAUUUGAAAGAAAGAUAAAGGGAUUAGAGAGCUUUAACCUCGUCAAACUCGAAGAAUGAGAUAUGCCAUUUUCGAAAAAAAGGAAAAAUAUUAUCGAGUCUCGGCAAUCUCUUUUCUAUAAAAAAAAAUCAAAAGAAAAUGGAAAUAUCGAUAUAAAGAUUACGAGUUAGUUAGAAAAACGUAAGAAAGUUCUAUCUUUCUCCGAAAAUAAAGAAUAGAAAAGAAAAAACAGAAAAUCAAAAGCUGUUCAAUUGGUGAGUAAAUAAGAAAGAAAGAAAAAAAUGAAAUAAGGGAUGAAGAGAAAAAGAGAGAAGGAAUAGUGGUGGCAACGUCCCUGAAUGAGAAAGCGGUUCGAUGCACUACACGAUUCUUUCCUCUGCGCACCUCUACUCCGCCUUCCGUGCAGAUGUGUUGCAACACGAGGGGAACCAGUGUACAAGAUAAUGCCAGGAGGAUGUACACUAGAUGGAGAAGAAACGGAAGAUUGAACCGAUUGGAAAGCCCUCCCAGGUGCCAGGCUUCUUCGUUGCUCUGUUUCUUUCUCUCUACCUAUUUCCUGUUUUUUAUUCUAUAAUUAUUCUAUUAUUGUAACUGAUUAGACUGAAUCGUAAGUGACAAUGUUCAAGAAUUCUAUACAUAAAUAAAAUUUUCAUGGUGUUAAAAAGAAUUUUCUUUACCUUUACGUAUGGAAAGUCUCGAAUAUGAUUGUAUAAAAGAAAGUUGAAAUUCGAGGAAUUUUUUUUCAAUUAUGCAAAGUAAACGAUAAAGAAAUCUCGUGAAGAGGAAAAAGCACGUCGAUUAAACGAUUAUCAGCGAUUAUAAGGCGAUUCGAUCGAGCGGAUCAAGAAGAUUCGAAAUCGCUACGAGUCACUCCACUUAAAGCGAUCAAAAUGGUUGAUCGCGACGUCGCUAUCCGCAUUAUUAUCAAUAAGUUCGUCUCGAGAAGCAAUUCGAAUGAAGCUACGCCGACGUUUAUGUCGUGGACCCUCGUCAAUCAUUAUUUACCGACGGGCAACAGUGGUCGCUUGGUUGUCUUCGAUUCCUCUACGCCUUGCCGAGCAAUCGUUUUAUUUUAAAACAAUAAUCUACUAUCUUCUACAUAGAAUAACCUCUACUGAUAUUAACUAUACUAUAUAUAAUAAUUGAUCCUCCCCUUAAAAAAAGAAAAAACAGAAAAUAUAUUUAAUAUUUUAUAUACUUAUAUAAUAAAAUUUAUGUAUAUAUUACAUAUAUAUAAAUUUAUAUGUAUAUUUCAAUAACACAGAAAUUUUUAUUCUGAAUAUGAUCAUAUUUUAUUAAUAUAAAAAAACUAUUAUAAAAUAUUUUUAUAUAUAAAAGAUCAAUCAUUAUAUAAAAAAUAAUAUAUAUGUAUUAAUUCUAUCAAUUCUUUGCAAAAAUCAAAUAUAUUUCUGAACUUUUUCUCUCCUUUUCAGUGACUUAAUGUAAAAUUUAUCGAGCAAUUCGCAAAUGAUUAUGCACAAACAUCGAUGAUUAAACUACGAUACAAAAACUAUUGAAAAUAACCUAAGAAUCUGGAGAGAAAGUUAAUACUUACCCAGCAACCGGUGUCAUUUUCAUCGCAAGCGCCCUGCUAAUGCAAAAUCCGGCGCCACCUGUCGCAAACCAGAAUUUUACCUUUUGCUGCAACAGAAAAAUCAAUCUAGUUAUACGAUAGCGAAAAAAAUUUCUAAUCUUCAAAUAUUCAAGAUCGUGAUCGAUUGUUCACGAGACGCUCGAUCGAUCCCCGUCACGUACACCGAUCAUCGUCCAUGACUUUCCGGAUUGGGGCCACGAUCGAUUACACCUUGACGCAUCGAUAAUCGAUAAUACGCUUCUACCUUCUUUGGGACAAAUUACGAUCGAGCUAUACGGUAACGGUUAGAAUAUUCUAUCUUUGAUUGAAAUUGAUUGACAUUGCAUCAGUGCAUUCUUUUUCCGUCGAUGGAUGAGGAAAGAUUAAGACAAGUGACAGAUAUACAUUGAUCGAGUUUUAGAGAAUCAUCAAGAUAUUCCAUUGGAAAUAGUAUUUUUUAUUAUUGAAUAUACCAUAUAUGAAUUAUGAAAUUGAAGAGAAUUUUCUCAUUCUAUUUAAAAAUUAUAUGAUAGAAAAAUUGCAAUUUUCCUAACAUCAAAUAUUAUAUUGUGUAUCGUUUAUCUCACAAUCGAAUAAGACAAUCUUCCACUCUGGGUGGAAUGGAGAAAACGAGGAUCCUGUUCGAGAAUACUUGAAUGAAAAGGCCAAAAGGAAAAAGGAGAAAGGUGUUUCCGAUUUUCUCAACGACCUGGAAAUUCUAUACGAGAAAAUCAUCUACUCAUGAAACGUAUGGUUACAAGUAGAUUCUUCGAAAAUGAUUAUUUAUAUCAAUGAAAUUUUAUAUAAGGCAUUGAGAAUCAUAUUGACAUAAAUAACAUGAUAAUUACUUUAAGAAAUAUUAGAAAUUAAUAUUUAAGAAAAAAAUAAUUUUUAUUAUAUAUUUUUAUAUUCUUCGAUUUCAAUAUUGAAUAUUGGUUUUAAUUUGUAACUAAUACAUUAAGAUAACUUAACUAGUAGUAAUUUAAAAUAACACGAGAUAAUAGUAUAGUAUAGCAUUUUUCAUUUUUUAUCGACAAUAAGCGGAAUAAUAAACCACUAUAAGUAGAGCAUUACUCUAUUUAUACGAACAUUUUCGUCAUAUAACACAAUUAAAAAUAUACAUUCUAUCCGUGAUAUAAAAUUUUUUCAAAAAUUUUGAAUUUUAAAAAUAUUUUCAAACCGAUCCAAUUUGUAAUAAAUGAUCAUUCGUUCAAAUGUUUCGAAUAUUCAUAGUCUCGGUCGGUAGAAGCGCGCGUACGAAACGGUGCACGGGAGUAUUGUCGGGUUUUUUGAAGGGGACCGGUUUCAUUGGUUAGAUACGCACGUGCAGCAUGCCUCAGUUCACGGUUGUUCGUCAUGUACCACGCCUAGCCUAUGAGGAAAGGAGCACGAGUUCUAGACCGGCGGCGAGAUAGUAUCGCUGCCAUGGAUAUAGUCCAGCACUAAGAGGUUGCCUCUAAUAGCCCCAAGCCACGAGGAGAUCGAGGCUCGACACGCUCGAUUUCCUCCCGAUUUCUCGCGAAUAAAUCUCUUACGAGAAGUGGAAAAAAAAAUUUUAUCCAUUUUUCUCGAUUAUUUAGUUUCACUUUUCGUUUCGUUACACUUUAUUUCGAACAAUUUCGAAAGAAAUCUGUCUACAGAUCUGCUAAGUAUAUUUAUUAUCAUAUAUAUCAUGUUUUUUAAGAGAUAAAAGAAAAAUUGUAUUUUUCUUGAUUCUGAUUGUUAUGCUUCAUUUUUCAUUUUAAAUAAUUUCAUUGUAAAAGUAUUUCUAAUAGAAAUGAUCUAAUAGAAAUUUUAUCUAAUACUUUUUCGAAAAUAUAAUAAUAAUGUAUCAAAUAUUAUAAUAAAUUUAGAAAAUUUUGUAAAUAUGAUCUAUCUAAUAUUUAAUUUGUAAAUAUAAUCUAUCUAAUAUUUAACGAA